GACGAACGCUGGCGGCGUGCUUAACACAUGCAAGUCGAGCGGUAAGGCCCUUUCGGGGGUACACGAGCGGCGAACGGGUGAGUAACACGUGGGUGACCUGCCCUCAGCUCUGGGAUAAGCCCGGGAAACUGGGUCUAAUACUGGAUAUGACUCCACGGUGCAUGCCGGUGGGGUGGAAAGCCUUGUGCGGCUGAGGAUGGGCCCGCGGCCUAUCAGCUUGUUGGUGGGGUGANGGCCUACCAAGGCGACGACGGGUAGCCGGCCUGAGAGGGCGACCGGCCACACUGGGACUGAGACACGGCCCAGACUCCUACGGGAGGCAGCAGUGGGGAAUCUUGCGCAAUGGGCGAAAGCCUGACGCAGCGACGCCGCGUGAGGGAUGACGGCCU
rnacentral:rRNA from 1 species